CGGGGCUCCCUUAGCGUUCAGAAUGAAUCGACCGCUUGGUGUGUACAACUUGGCCGUAAUGGCCUGGUGGUCGGGGUAUGUAUCAGAUACUGGGAGUAUGUGUGGUAUUCCUCCCCCUCCAGCAUGAUGACGGGGGUUUCCAGAAAGUCAUUCAAUGUCUUUGCAUCUAAUUGAAUGACUUUUCCCCUAACUCAGCAAUACUUAGACGCGCUGUCCUCUCGGUCAUAGGAAUUUG
rnacentral:lncRNA from 1 species